rnacentral:rRNA from 1 species
UACGGAGGGGGCUAGCGUUGUUCGGAAUUACUGGGCGUAAAGCGCACGUAGGCGGCUUUGCAAGUUAGAGGUGAAAGCCCGGGGCUCAACUCCGGAAUUGCCUUUAAAACUGCAUCGCUAGAAUUGUGGAGAGGUAAGUGGAAUUCCGAGUGUAGAGGUGAAAUUCGUAGAUAUUCGGAAGAACACCAGUGGCGAAGGCGGCUCGCUGGACAAGUAUUGACGCUGAGGCACGAAAGCGUGGGGAGCAAACAGG